CACGUAGGCAGAUGUGUCAGUCAGGGGUGAAAUCCCGGAGCUCAACUUCGGAACUGCCUUUGAUACAGCACGUCUUGAGUCCGAUAGAGGUGGGUGGAAUUCCUAGUGUAGAGGUGAAAUUCGUAGAUAUUAGGAAGAACACCGGUGGCGAAGGCGGCCCACUGGAUCGGUACUGACGCUGAGGUGCGAAAGCGUGGGGAGCAAACA
rnacentral:rRNA from 1 species